AGGCCUACGGGUGGCAGCAGUGGGGAAUAUUGGACAAUGGGGGCAACCCUGAUCCAGCCAUGCCGCGUGAGUGAUGAAGGCCCUAGGGUUGUAAAGCUCUUUUGUGCGGGAAGAUAAUGACGGUACCGCAAGAAUAAGCCCCGGCUAACUUCGUGCCAGCAGCCGCGGUAAUACGAAGGGGGCUAGCGUUGCUCGGAAUCACUGGGCGUAAAGGGUGCGUAGGCGGAUCUUUAAGUCAGAGGUGAAAGCCUGGAGCUCAACUCCAGAACUGCCUUUGAUACUGAGGAUCUCGAGUUCGGGAGAGGUGAGUGGAACUGCGAGUGUAGAGGUGAAAUUCGUAGAUAUUCGCAAGAACACCAGUGGCGAAGGCGGCUCACUGGCCCGAUACUGACGCUGAGGCACGAAAGCGUGGGGAGCAAACAGGAUUAGAUACCCGAGUAGUCA
rnacentral:rRNA from 1 species